rnacentral:rRNA from 1 species
CAAAGCACUUUGAAGAGAGAGUUAAAGAGGACGUGAAACCGGUAGGAUGGAAACGGAUAGAGCCAGCGAAGUCGCUUGUAUUCAACCAGAGGCUCGGGGCUGCCUGGUGUUGUGUUUCUAAUCGAGCACAGCGCUUGGUCUGCUCCAAGCUGAGGUGCAUUUGCAGGCGUUUGCGCUGAGACUUGUGGUUCAGCUUCUGGGCCUGCGCUUAGAGGCCUCCCUCUGGGAGGAACCUGGGCGUGGUGACAGUUGUUUGGACUGCUCGUAGUGGUCUGGCCUACGGACCCGGGCUGCGCCGUCGUUGACAGGCACUGGCAUCGCAUGCGAUGUCACGUCUGAAGGCGGCGGUUCGGUUCGGCGUUCCCGGACCGUCUCUCGGUGUAGAAGCUGGUCAUCUCUCCGACCCGCCUUGAAACACGGACCAAGGAGUUUAGCGUAUGCGCGAGUCAUUGGGUGCUGAAAACCCACAGGCGCAAUGAAAGUGAAGGCUCGGUCGCCGGGCUGACAUGCGAGUGUGCGAGCCUCGGCUCGUGCAUGCAGCAUGGUCCCGUUGCAGUCGCUUGCGACGCGGCGGAGACAGAGCGUAUGCGCUGAGACCCGAAAGAUGGUGAACUAUUCCUGAGCAGGACGAAGCCAGAGGAAACUCUGGUGGAAGUCCGAAGCGAUUCUGACGUGCAAAUCGAUCGUC